rnacentral:rRNA from 1 species
UGGGGAAUAUUGCACAAUGGGCGCAAGCCUGAUGCAGCGACGCCGCGUGAGGGAUGAAGGCCUUCGGGUUGUAAACCUCUUUCAGUAGGGAAGAAGCCGCUCUUUCGGGGGUGGUGACGGUACUUGCAGAAGAAGCGCCGGCUAACUACGUGCCAGCAGCCGCGGUAAUACGUAGGGCGCAAGCGUUAUCCGGAAUUAUUGGGCGUAAAGAGCUCGUAGGCGGUUUGUCGCGUCUGCCGUGAAAGUCCGGGGCUUAACCCCGGAUCUGCGGUGGGUACGGGCAGACUAGAGUGCAGUAGGGGAGACUGGAAUUCCUGGUGUAGCGGUGAAAUGCGCAGAUAUCAGGAGGAACACCGAUGGCGAAGGCAGGUCUCUGGGCUGUAACUGACGCUGAGGAGCGAAAGCAUGGGGAGCGAACAGG